rnacentral:rRNA from 1 species
AUUGAACGCUGGCGGAAUGCUUUACACAUGCAAGUCGAACGGUAGAGGGGGCAACCCCUCGAGAGUGGCGAACGGGUGAGUAAUAUAUCGGAACGUGCCCAGUCGUGGGGGAUAACGUAGAGAAAGUUACGCUAAUACCGCAUACGAUCUACGGAUGAAAGCGGGGGAUCGCAAGACCGCGCGCGAUUGGAGCGGCCGACAUCAGAUUAGGUAGUUGGUGGGGUAAAGGCUCACCAAGCCAACGAUCUGUAGCUGGUCUGAGAGGACGACCAGCCACACUGGAACUGAGACACGGUCCAGACUCCUACGGGAGGCAGCAGUGGGGAAUUUUGGACAAUGGACGCAAGUCUGAUCCAGCCAUUCCGCGUGCAGGAUGAAGGCCCUCGGGUUGUAAACUGCUUUUGUACGGAACGAAGAGGUUUCCAUUAAUACUGGGAGCUCAUGACGGUACCGUAAGAAUAAGCACCAGCUAACUACGUGCCAGCCGCCGCUGUAA